GUGCUUUGUCAAUGGCUUUUGUCAAGCCCCAGAAUCUCCUUCGGAGUGUAGUCUCAAAGAGAGAGAGAGAGAGGACUAAGAAAGCACCAGAAAAUUCGAGUUCAUUUUUCGGUAAAGUGGUCGUAGAGGAAUGGAUCUGUGGGUCGUUCGUGUCAAUAACACCACUCGAACCCCUCUCUUGCUUAGAAACUCGUUUUCUGAGAAACCCAUGUCUUGGAACCUUGGAAGAAAAACCACUUCUUCUGCCAAAGUAGAGAAAUGGGGGGUUGUGUGAGAUCAGAGUUUUGAGGAGACCCAGGCUUUGCACUUCUUCGUCUUUGGUUGUCAGAGUUAUGGCGAAGAAGAAUCACGAAAAUGAUAUGGAUACAUGCUGUGAAGUGGGGAUUGGAAAUUAGGAUCUUGAUGGGAUAUGUUUUAGUUGCCUGCAACUCUUUUGGUUAUGGAGCUGUCCAUGGGUGCUACAUUGGGAACAAAGGAGAUCAUGGUUGCAAUUUUUAAAGCUAGAUAUUUGUGAACUAAGCGCCAUUGGGAUUUGAAUAGCACCAACAAUUAGCAGUAGAGACGAUUUCAUUAUCAUUUUCUGCUCCAACAUUGCCAAAGUUAAUAGGCCGCACUAUUUGGCUUAUCUGGAUUUUUGUGGUACAGUAGCAACAAAUUCUCUUCCCUGUUAGUCCACUGGUGUCUUGAAAAUACCUUGUGAUGCUUUCAUUAAGAUAUUUUCUUUAUGAAUUUAGGUUGCAUUUAUAGGCUGGAAUUAUAUAUAUUGACCUGAUAUUUUUCUUUGUUGAACUGCUAAAUAUUUAUGGCUUUUUCAUGUAUCCGAUUGGAUAUGGUAACUUUGUGGAAGAGGCAUCAAGGGCUCUUGGAUCAAAUUUGGUAAAAGGAACGUGUGGAUUUAAAAUGGGUUGUUUCUGGAACUUUUGCAGAUCUCGAUCAAAAUCCAAAUCUUCAAUGCCUUCGGUAUGUUUUCUAUUUCUGUUUGAACAAUUAUUUUUGUGAUUCUGAAUAUUAAUAGGCUGAUUAGAAAUGUUGCAACAUGCCCUCAUUUAAUGGGUGGCUGGAUCAUUGGUACAGAGAUAUGGUACUGGGAUAUUUUAAUUAUUAGAGCCUCAUCUAACUUGGUAAGUUUUUUAAAAUGUUCUUGAAAGUAUCGUGAUUGAAUAGUAUCUAUAUUACCUGCUAUUUUAACAGACUUGUUCUAUUAAUCAAUGUCCAGUCCUAGAAUCUUGGUAUUGGAUUUAGUUCGACCUUCUAUUACAUAUUUUUUUAAAGAAAACACUUCAUCUUACCUCUUUUUCAGCGUCUGAAACAAAAGAGUAAAAGCCCAAAGAGGCACAGUGCAAGCAAUAGCGCGAGCAAGAGCAAGAGUUUAUCCAGGUGAUAUCCGAUUGCAGCUGAUCAGUUGAUUCCUGAAGAUUCUAUGAGUAUGCCUUUUUAUUGUUGAAGAAAACUUUACCAGUAAAGUAUCCUAGGCAAGGAAUAGCAAACCUAUCAUGGGUAGACUUUAGAGUGGAUUUUGUGGUUGCUUUCUAGACUGUCAAAAUGAUUUCUAAAUCUUAUUGAAGCCUCUAGAUUGAAACUUGCACAUUCACCAUACUUGUAUUGCAUAUGACAUUUGCUAAAUUUCAACUUUUCAUAAUUUUAGGGUGUUGGAUAUUGA